AACUCUUUAUCGUAUAGCGGUAAAACUUAACGUUUCUUAUGCAUCGAUUUUGUUCGAAGAAAUUCCUGUAAGAAAUUAAAUAACUAAGAAGGUUAAAAAAUGGUCCCAAAGAAACUUCAUGUAGUGGGCAAAGGCGCUGCUAUAGUUUUUGGAGGAUUUCUGACUCUGAAUCUUGCUGCUACUGUUGCCAUUGGUGCAUUUCGCUCUGUAGCUGAAAGGAAACGGGAAAAAAUUGCCUUGCCUUGUGGGAUUUGUAAAGGGAAAUGAUUUUACUUAUUCAAGCUAUGCAAUGGAAAUGCUACAAUAAAGUGGUCACCUUUGUAUGAUCCUAUUCAUAUUAACCCUUGUGUUUGCCCUACUUGUGACGGUAACAGGGUGCAGCGCUGCCUAAACUGUCUUGGCAAAGGUUAUAGUUGACUACUACUUGACUUGUAAGAGUUUUAAUUGUGAAUUUGUGAUUACUUUAUGCUUUUCUAUCCCAUUUUGUAAGUGAAU